rnacentral:rRNA from 1 species
GAUGAACGCUAGCGGCAGGCUUAAUACAUGCAAGUCGUGGGGCAGCAGGACUGUAGCAAUACAGUUGCUGGCGACCGGCAAACGGGUGCGGAACACGUACGCAACUUACCCUGAACUGGGGGAUAGCCCGGGGAAACCCGGAUUAAUACCCCGUAAUAUACUGGAGUGGCAUCCCUUUAUUAUUAAAGCUCCGGCGGUUCGGGAUGGGCGUGCGGCUGAUUAGGUAGUUGGUUGAGGUAACGGCUCACCAAGCCUACGAUCAGUAACUGGUGUGAGAGCACGACCAGUCACACGGGCAAUGAGACACGGGCCCGAAUCGUACGGAAGGCAGGAGUAAGGAAUAUUGGGCAAGGGAGGCUACUCCGACCCAGCCAUGCCGCGUGGAGGAGGAAGGCCCUCGGGGUUGUAAACUUCUUUGAUAGGGGACGAAACCUGUGUAUUCUUACGCAGUUGACGGUACCCGAGGAAUAAGCACCGGCUAACUCCGUG